AUGGAGCAGCCCCAACUGUUUCAAUAGCUCUGGCUAAAGCCAAGGCAGAGACUGACACCUUGAGGGUGAAAUGUCAAUAUCUGCAGGAGAAAAUAGAAGAUUUGACAAAAGAACGAGAUUUCCUUAGACAACAGCUGUCAGAAGGUAGUUGUUGUGAAAGUUUCGUUGUUUUAGUGUUAAAAUGUAUAACUACUUUUUUUCUGUUAUUUGGAGUGAAGUUAACAUGCAUACUAAAGUCACAAAUGCAGGCAUGCAAGUAUAUGAGUAUUAACUGUCCCCCCUCCCCCCCCAUUAAAAUGGACAACAUGCCUGACAAAAAUAAAGAUAAGCCUGCAGACAUAGCAAAAAAAAUGAAAAUCUCUCAAGAAGAUUCAGAAAGUGACCCCUCUGAUUCUGACUCUUCUGACACUUCUGACUCGGAGUCAUGUAGCUCAGACUCUUCAAGGGAGAAGAAGAAAAGAAAGAAGAAGGCAAAGAAAGUAAAGAAAAGAUUAAAAAAACAGAAGAAAAACAAGCAGAUGAGUAAAUUCUAUCAAAAGGUUACUGAACCAUAGCAGGUGGUAAAGCGGUACAAAUCAGUUCUGGAGAUUUUCAAAAGAGGAAGCAACAUGGCAGAUGCAUUCAGAAAGUAUGGUGUGGACCGGAACACAAUUGUGCAGAGUGCAGCUAUUGCUGAACUGGUGAUUGCAGCACCAGAGAAAUAUGAGGAAAUCAAUGACAAACAUGCAAAGGGAGAGAAAUUAUCAAACAUAGCCCAGAAAUGUCAAGAUGCAGUUAUGGCCGAUGAGAACAUUGCAAACAAAAUACAAACGAUGAAAGCUGAUGGGAAGUUGCUUCCAAUAAAAAAAUAGUUAAUUUCCAUGUAAAAAAAGAAGAAGAAAAAACAGUCAAAGAAGGACUUUAAAACCCUAAGAUAAAAAAUAUCCAAAUACAUUUUUCCCCAUGUUUAAUUUCAGUUAUGUAUCUUUCCUUGUUUAGGCCUGAAUUGAUAGUGCUGCACAUGGUUUGUUUCUGUGUAGAAACAAGUUUUUGUUCUUAAAUAUUGUGCUUUGUUUUGUAUUUUUUUGUGCUGGCAAAGAUUGCCAAUGUUGACCAGUUAUGUAAGGUAAUAAAGGUUCUGAAAAUGUAAGUGAUGAAUGGCUUUCACUCAU